rnacentral:rRNA from 1 species
UACGUAGGGUCCGAGCGUUGUCCGGAAUUACUGGGCGUAAAGCGCGCGCAGGCGGCCCGCGAGGUGUCACGUGAAAGCCCCGGGCUCAACCCGGGAGGGUCGUGGCAAACCGGCGGGCUUGAGGCCGGUAGAGGUGGGUGGAACUCCUGGUGGAGUGGUGAAAUGCGUAGAGAUCAGGAAGAACACCCGUGGCGAAGGCGGCCCACUGGGACGGUACUGACGCUGAGACGCGAAAGCGUGGGGAGCGAACAGG